AGCUCCAAUAGCGUAUAUUAAAGUUGCUGCAAUUAAAAAGCUCGUAGUUGCAUUUCCGAUGCAAGGGAUUAGUCCGACCUUUGGUGGGUAUUUAAUCCUCUUGCCUCGUCAUUGAGUGGUGCUUCUUGGUAUUAAGUUAUCGAGGAGAUAGCCGCUCAUCGUUUACUGUGAGAAAAUUAGAGUGUUCAAAGCAGGCUUAUGCCGUUGAAUAUAUUAGCAUGGAAUAAUAAGAUAGGACCUCGGUACUAUUUUGUUGGUUUGAGAACCAAGGUAAUGAUGAAUAGGGACAGUUGGGGGUAUUCGUAUUCAGUUGUCAGAGGUGAAAUUCUUAGAUUUACGGAAGACGAACUACUGCGAAAGCAUUUACCAAGGAUGUUUUCA
rnacentral:rRNA from 1 species